UAGGGAAUCUUCCGCAAUGGACGAAAGUCUGACGGAGCAACGCCGCGUGAGUGAAGAAGGAUUUCGGUUCGUAAAACUCUGUUGUUAGGGAAGAAAAAAUGUAUAGUAACUAUAUACAAAAGAGACGGUACCUAACCAGAAAGCCACGGCUAACUACGUGCCAGCAGCCGCGGUAAUACGUAGGUGGCAAGCGUUGUCCGGAAUCAUUGGGCGUAAAGCGCGCGCAGGUGGUUUAGAAAGUCUGAUGUGAAAGCCCACGGCUCAACCGUGGAGGGUCAUUGGAAACUAAUAAACUUGAGUGCAGGAGAGAAAAGUGGAAUUCCUAGUGUGGCGGUGAAAUGCGUAGAGAUUAGGAGGAACACCGGUGGCGAAAGCGGCUUUUUGGCCUGCAACUGACACUGAGGCGCGAAAGCGUGGGGAGCAAACAGG
rnacentral:rRNA from 1 species